rnacentral:rRNA from 1 species
CCUACGGGUGGCAGCAGUAGGGAAUCUUUCACAAUGGGCGAAAGCCUGAUGGAGCAACGCCGCGUGCAGGAAGAAGGCCUUCGGGUUGUAAACUGCUUUUAUAAGCGAGAAAUAUGAUGGUAACUUAUGAAUAAGGAUCGGCUAACUACGUGCCAGCAGCCGCGGUCAUACGUAGGAUCCGAGCAUUAUCCGGAGUGACUGUGUGUAAAGAGUUACGUAGGUGGCAUAAUAAGUAGCUAGUGAAAUCUGGUGGCUCAACCAUUCAUACUAUUAGCUAAACUGUUAAGCUCGAGACCGUUAGGGGUAACUGGAAUUUCUAGUGUAGGAGUGAAAUCCGUAGAUAUUAGAAGGAACACCAGUAGCGUAGGCAGGUUGCUGGGACGGUUCUGACACUAAGGCACGAAAGCGUAGGGAGCAAACGGGAUUAGAUACCCCAGUAGUC